rnacentral:rRNA from 1 species
GGCUCAGGAUGAACGCUGGCGGCGUGCCUAACACAUUCAAGUCGAACGGAGUUAUUCGUGGAAGUCUUCGGAUGGAAGCGAAUAACUUAGUGGCGGACGGGUGAGUAACGCGUGAGCAACCUGCCUUUGCAUUUGGGAUAACAGCCGGAAACGGCUGCUAAUACCGAAUAACGUAUACGAGAUGCAUGUCAUGUAUACCAAAGAUCCGUCGUGCAAAGAUGGGCUCGCGUCUGAUUAGAUAGUUGGUGAGGUAACGGCUCACCAAGGCGACGAUCUGUAGCCGAACUGAGAGGUUGAUCGGCCGCAUUGGGACUGAGACACGGCCCAGACUCCUACGGGAGGCAGCAGUGGGGAAUAUUGCGCAAUGGGGGCAACCCUGACGCAGCAACGCCGCGUGCAGGAAGAAGGUCUUCGGAUUGUAAACUGUUGUCGCGAGGGAAGAAAAAAUGACGGUACCUCGUGAGAAAGUCACGGCUAACUACGUG